rnacentral:rRNA from 1 species
UACGUAGGGUGCAAGCGUUAUUCGGAAUUACUGGGCGUAAAGCGUGCGUAGGCGGUUUGUUAAGUCUGUCGUGAAAGCCCUGGGCUCAACCUGGGAAUUGCGAUGGAUACUGGCAAGCUAGAGUACGGUAGAGGAUGGUGGAAUUCCCGGUGUAGCGGUGAAAUGCGUAGAGAUCGGGAGGAACACCCGUGGCGAAGGCAGCCAGCUGGACCAGUACUGACGCUGAGGCACGAAAGCGUGGGGAGCAAACAGG